CCUACGGGAGGCAGCAGUGAGGAAUAUUGGUCAAUGGACGAGAGUCUGAACCAGCCAAGUAGCGUGAAGGAUGACUGCCCUAUGGGUUGUAAACUUCUUUUAUAUGGGAAUAAAAUGUUCCACGUGUGGGAUUUUGUAUGUACCAUAUGAAUAAGGAUCGGCUAACUCCGUGCCAGCAGCCGCGGUAAUACGGAGGAUCCGAGCGUUAUCCGGAUUUAUUGGGUUUAAAGGGAGCGUAGGGGGAUUGUUAAGUCAGUUGUGAAAGUUUGCGGCUCAACCGUAAAACUGCAGUUGAAACUGGCAGUCUUGAGUACAGUAGAGGUGGGCGGAAUUCGUGGUGUAGCGGUGAAAUGCUUAGAGAUCACGAAGAACUCCGAUUGCGAAGGCAGUUCACUGGACUGCAACUGACACUGAGGCUCGAAAGUGUGGGUAUCAAACAGGAUUAGAUACCCGUGUAGUC
rnacentral:rRNA from 1 species